GGUCGUAUAGCUCAGUUGGUAGAGCACUACCUUGACAUGGUAGUGGUCAGAGGUUCGAGUCCUCUUACGGCCACCA
rnacentral:tRNA from 1 species